GGGCGUCGUCGAGGACGGCGGCGGCCUUGGCCGGGUCGCCGUCGGCGAGGGCGGCGAGGCCGUCGCCGGUGAGCCGGUCGAAGCGGGUGAGGUCCAC
rnacentral:tRNA from 1 species